GAUGAACGCUGGCGGCGUGCUUAACACAUGCCAGUCGAACGAUGAAGCCCAGCUUGCUGGGUGGAUUAGUGGCGAACGGGUGAGUAACACGUGAGUAACCUGCCCUUAACUCUGGGAUAAGCCUGGGAAACUGGGUCUAAUACCGGAUAGGAGCGCCUACCGCAUGGUGGGUGUUGGAGAGAUUUAUCGGUUUUGGAUGGACUCGCGGCCUAUCAGCUUGUUGGUGAGGUAAUGGCUCACCAAGGCGACGACGGGUAGCCGGCCUGAGAGGGUGACCGGCCACACUGGGACUGAGACACGGCCCAGACUCCUACGGGAGGCAGCAGUGGGGAAUAUUGCACAAUGGGCGAAAGCCUGAUGCAGCGACGCCGCGUGAGGGAUGACGGCCUUCGGGUUGUAAACCUCUUUCAGUAGGGAAGAAGCGAAAGUGACGGUACCUGCAGAAGAAGCACCGGCUAACUACGUG
rnacentral:rRNA from 1 species